GGGGCUUCUUCUUUCAAAGCAGUGAUUUCCUGACAAGCCCCUUCAAAAGAACACUUCAUUUGGUGGUCCAGUGGUUAAGAAUCUGCCUCCCAACAGAGGGGACACAGCUUCGAUCCCCUGUACAGGAACUAAGAUCCCACAUGCCAAGGGGCAACUAAGCCCCAGGGCAGCAACCAGAGAGGCCAUAAGCAGCAAGUCUCAACUAGAGAAAGCCUGUGUGCGGAAAUGAAGACUCAAUGCAGCCCCCCAAAAAAUAAACUUCAUUCUGAUGACUCCAGCACCUGAGGUGAAGUUGCAUCCUUAGGGAUUACUUCCUCCACCUCCACACCUGCACACUUCUCUGUGGGCAGGGCCCCUGGGCAUGGGGAUAAAGACUAAUCCAGCAGGAGGAAGACUGGAAAGGUCCCUGCUUUGGGGACCUCCCAAAUUGAAAUUAAUCACAGCUAGCAUUUACUUCUCACUCGGUGCUCUGCACUGUUGUAAGAGCUAUGUGGAUAUUGACCCAUUUAAUCCUCCCAAUCACUCCAUAAACUCCAGGGCCUAAAAUUAUGACUGGAA
ensembl:lncRNA